AGAUUGAACGCUGGCGGAAUGCUUUACACAUGCAAGUCGAACGGCAGCACGGGGGGCAACCCUGGUGGCGAGUGGCGAACGGGUGAGUAAUACAUCGGAACGUGCCCAGUCGUGGGGGAUAACUACGCGAAAGCGUAGCUAAUACCGCAUACGAUCUACGGAUGAAAGCGGGGGAUCGCAAGACCUCGCGCGAUUGGGAGCGGCCGAUGGCAGAUUAGCUAGUUGGUGGGGUAAAGGCCUACCGAAGGCGACGAUCGGUAGCUGGUCUGAGAGGACGACCAGCCACACGUGGACUGAGACACGGCCCAGACUCCGUACGGGAGCAGC
rnacentral:rRNA from 1 species